CCUGGGUGCGGCUAGAGCAAUUUGUCAUAGAAUCUGGGGGGCUCAUUUUUCCGGCCAAUCACUUUUGGAGAAAUGAGCGCAUUGCAGCAGAAUGCGCUGACGUCAGAGACCACCCCUUCUGCGCCUCCAUAUAAACCCCACCCAGCCAGCCCCUAGCGCAGACGGCGGAGAACUGGGAUGGAGCGCGCCUUGGCCCGCUGGCCGUGGCUGCAGCUCCUCGGGAGAACCGGGGCGCCCACGCGAGAAUCUCCCCACCUGAGGACACUAGGAGCACCGAUUCCUGGAUCCCCCCAGCAUACAAAGCAGCCGCUGGCAGAGACCCCCAGGACCAGGACGACGAGGGAUGAAGAGGACCAGGACUGACAAGCCAGCUGUCCCUCUUGGCUAAAGGCUUGAACCAGUGCCCUAGUGAGGGGGCACUGGCUGCUAACCCCUGAUCUUUGCUACGCUUGUGCUUGGUCUCUGUGAAUACUUUCCCAUAAGUCUCUGCUGUGUUAAUGUGCCGGCGACCUGGAGCGCUUCCCUCAGGGUGGCGUCAGUCUUUCUCCACUGACCCUGCUGUUGCCCUUAUGAUGUCCUGAACGGAAAGAUCCCUUUGGGAACUCCUCAGGAGGGGGACCUAGGCCAGAGGCUCCUCUAGCAUCUCACUGGCGAUUCCAAGGCCCAGGGUGGGCUUGUGGAAUGAGCAUGAGCCCUCAUGUCAUGCUACUGAACUGCCAAAGGCAUGCUCCCCUCUUUCGAGAUCCCCCGUCCUUUCUGGGCAAUGGGGAUGAGAAGUGCAACCUCCUAGGGUUGUUGUGAGUAUUAAAUGAGAGAAGGCAGCCUUGGGCAGGGCUGGGCAUAGAGGAUGCGGUCAGCAAAUGUUUGUUGAAAAAAUUUGGCAGGUCAAUCCAUUCCUACCUCUCUCACUUGUCGUACUUGUUCUCCCACAGCACUCCGGACAGCCCCUGUCCCCCAGGCUCUCCUUGCAUCAGGUAGGGGCUCCACCAGAGGGUCCUGGGCUGACCUGAAGGAAUACGAAUUAUGCAUGCGGUCAUUUCCAGAGCACUUUCUAUGUAGAUGAAUGUUCUUUCUAUGUCAUAGGAGUAUGUGUAUGAGGCGGCCUCAUUUACAGAUGAGAAUGAAUUUGUCAUUGAUUUGAGUAAUUUUCAAAAGGUGGGUGGGGAAGAGGACUCAUGAAAGCUGAGUGCCCCUCCCACGGGAUAGGGGUCACCCACGUUGGCAGUGAGGAUGGACGCCGAGGCUGGAGGGAUGUAAGUAUUUUGUCACACUGCUGGCAAGAGAAGAGGUCAUAGUUGGAUCCUGGGUGCCAUUGUAGCCGCCCUGUACCCCCUAGCCCAGAGUUAUAUUAAAAGCCCUUUGACGUCCAGUCAGACAUUUGACAAAGGGACAGUCUCUUUGAAAUCCCAGCUGCCCAGGGUGGUCUUGGGGUCUGGGUGGCCCCAGAGCUGGUACCCUGUGCUGGCUCCACCUCCCAGUAACAGUGUGACCUUAAACAAGUCGCUUAACUUCUCCGAGUCUCAGUUCCUUUCAUGGUCUAAAUGGGGAUUAAAAAAAAAAAAAAAAAAAAACCUCCGCGUUUAUCUACCCCACAGGGCGCUUUUGAAGACCAAAUGAUGUAACUGCUAUGAAAGUGCUUUGUAAAUUGCUGUGGAAAUUGCGAGAUACUUAUCCCCCGGAGGCUGUCCUCCGUCCUUCACAUGCCCAGCCCUCUUCUCCCGCAGUAGUAACAGCCAGCACCCAGUAGGUGCUGUGUGUGUUUGCACUCCAUAAGUAAAUUCCAGAAGAAAUAAAAACGGAAUUAAUUCAACAAACAUUUUCUGGAACCCUGACAAUAUGCCCAGCACACCAGGCCUGGGAUGUGAUACAAAGAUGAUGAAAACAGUCUCUUGGAAGCUAAUUGGGGUCCUCAUUUGACCAGCACUUUCUUUCGUCCCCUUUUAAGCCAACCAGUUUUGUCCGGACAAGACAAAAACAACUCAGGCCGCCUUGCAGAAGCCCAGCUUGGUGUGGACAAUAGCUCCCAGGCAUCUGAAAGGGCCUGAUUGGAUUAUGUGGCAAAUGAAGGUGGAAGGAUGACUUGGAAGGUGACAAAUGAAGUGGGCGGAGAUCUGCUUUGAGUUAAUCCAGGCUAUUAGGAGGCCACCUUUUGUCUUCCAGAGGCUGGCAGGAGCUUUUACCACUGGUUUUUACAUCCUUAAUGUAAGGACGCAUAAUUUAUGGUCAGUGAAAGUCCAGGCCCCGGUGAGAUUGGAGUGGGCUGUAAAAUUGAGCGUCCCGCUACCAGUGAGUAAUUACGGUGCCCGUUUCUGUCUCCUGUGUAGUAUGCAGAGCCCUUUCUGGCAACCGACAAUUCAUUUGAACCUCACAACUCCCUGUCCCGGCCCGGGGCUGGCCUGCACCUUCUAGGGGAACAGAGCCAUCAAGCGGCCUUUCAGAUUGGGGUCCCACCGUACAUGUGUACCCCCAUCGCCUCUCACCUUGUAAAGGAAGGGGUGCCCUCUGCUCUGGUCCCUCCUAUCUCAGCCCUGGACCUCCCACCAUCGGUUAUCCUCUGAAUUCCUAACUUUGCUCUCUCCACAGCCUCCCAGGUCCCUUCUGUCCUCCUUUCUAGCCACUACCGUUUCUCUCUUUCCUUUCGCAGCCAAGCUUCUCGAAAGGCCUGUCUUCACUUGCUGUCUUCCUUCCUCACCUCCAAUUUCCUCUUCAACCCACUGCCUCCUGACUUGCUCUACUCCAUCGAGCGGCUCUCACUAAGGUAAUAACUUUUCUGGAGCUUCACCUUGGCCACGUGUCUGGCUCUUGGACACAGGGACUCAUUCUUUCUCUUACAUAGCUUUUCGGCUCCGGUUCACUUCUGUUGACACACUCCCUGUAGACCUCACGGGGACACCUGCUCCUGGCUUCCCUCAUUUCUUAGUUUUCCCAGAAACUUGCAUAUCCGGAUCUCCUAAUGUCUGGAAGCUGCCUCUUGCCAUCUCGCCCUGGGUUCGAGCCUUGGCUAGCCCACUUAGUGCUGGGGCCUUGAGGUAGGUCAGUUUUCCCAAGCCACCUUUUUCUCAGUUGUAAAAUAGGGUUAAUCGUCUUUACCUGGCAGGUGAGGUGGGCUAUCUUGCAGGUAAGAACCAGAGACGAUUUGAAAGACUUAAAAUAAAGUCAAUCAGGUAUUCAGGAGAAAAUAUAAUUGGAGUCCCCAUUAGAUUUCCUUACAGGUUGAAACCGUUCCCAUGGGGAGGACCAAAGCGAGAAGAAAGAGGUGGAGAGGGGCGGGGGGGGGGGGGGGGAGUGGGAGAGAAAGAAGAAAAGAAUUUACAGAAAAACCCACUAAAGACAAAAAAGUAGGGGGGAGAGGUUUAGAGAAUAUUAAAAUCUACCAAAAAAGACAUCCAGAGAAAGGUUUUCAGUUUCGGCUGAAAGAAAGUAAACAGGAAAAAGGUUUUAAAUUGAUUAUCCCAGUGACAAAUCCCAGGAAGCUUUCAAAUCAAAUUGCCCCAUUUUGGGUUUUUAACUCCUUCUAUCAAGUUUAACCUCUUUACCUCCUGCAUCCUGGUUAGACCCCCCUGCCCCCCCUUUGCUGGUGAUUAAAUCCCCAAGGUGCACAGGAGUCUUUCAAUGAAUGAAUGGCUGACAGAAAGAGCCCACCCCUCCCCCCAGCUGUGUUUUUCAGUUUUAUUCCACUUUCCGCCCUUUUCCCUUAAUGAACACAGGGCUAAUCUUAGGCCCUGUCAAGGAGGAGGCUGCAGACGUUAAUGAGGUAGCCGCUGGAUUCCAAUAUUCGUCUCAUAAGGAGCCUUCUUUGUCUGCAAAGGAAAAACACACUGAUUAUCAUAAUGAGGUGAACUGGCGUCCACAGGGCAGGGCCACUCGCUUCUUCGCCCACACUUCUAAUUUUGGGGCUGGAGCUGAGGUUUCAUUUGCUCCCCCUUUAAGUCUUUGCCUCCAUCCCUGCGAGCAGUCCAUUGAGCGGGGUUGAAAGUUGAAGGCAGCUUUGGGAAGCGGGCUGCAGAUAGGGCUGCUUUGUGGAAAGUUUCUUUGUUCGACCCUAUACCCAGGGCAAGGGCGAGUCACACCUCUUGGGUUCCUUCUCCGAGGGCUGAGGACUGAGAGCACACAUUUCCCCGUCCGGCACGCACCUGACUUGUUCCAGGACCACUGAACAUUCACACUUACUCAAGAUUACCAAAGGUAGAAUGGUGCCAUGUCAUAGGGGUAGAACCGGUGGAAUUAUCACAAAGUCAACACCCAUGGGAUGCUCCACUUAGGUCAAGAAAUGGAUGGAUGUUGGUGCCCCAGAGGGCCACCCCCUGGAAGGGUGUGCUUUAGGGUCCAUGUUUGGCUCCCGAAUGCUGUUAGAGAGGUUCAGAGUCCAGCAGUGUGUUAGGAUCACUCAGCGAACCAAGUGCCAGAGGGAACAUUACAGCUCAGAUCGGGCAUCAGAACCUGUAGACGCUCCUUUCACGCCCCAACGUCGCCCUCUCCCAUGUGUCCUGCAGCCCGCCUGAAUCCCCCUUCUGUCCUGACCCUUGAGCUCCCCAGAGCCCAUUCUUGUCUCUAGAGCAGGUGUGCCUCAAGUCUGCCCUUAUGUGUCCCGAAUUGUGGACAUUUCUCACCCCAAGGCAGAUCAAUCAAGAUCAGAUCACUCCAAUUAAACUUUAAUUCCAGCUUUAGCCAGACUUUCAGCCAAGUGGAAGAAAACUAAGGGAGAAGCGAGGUGGUUGGAGCCAGAAAAUUUUAUUAGUAGAAAACUUCCUCCCUUAACUUAUCUCUUGGCUAAAGGUUCCCUGGCAUCAUGGGUCAGAAUUAGACAUGUUUUCCAAGUUAGCAAAACCAACUCUUGUCCAACAUCCCCAAAAAAUCUCGAAGGAUGUCUAGGUGGCUGGGUGGGGUGAUUCCACCCCUUUGGGUGGAGGUGACCCAGAGGUCGCCCGGAUUAGGAACCAGGAUGAGGUUGAGCACCUCUGAAAAUGGUGAUCCCACAGAAACCUACCCCACUACCCCACGCAGUCAUUGAAGAGUGAAAGAAGAGCAGUUCUGGGGGUUGCUAAGUGAGGACUUUUAAAUAGGAACAAAAUCACAGGACCCUUCCCACCCUCAAACACCACUGAUAAUUAAAAGAUGAGCCCCAAAGCCAUUAAUAUGCCAGCAUUUGAGAACCUGGGGAGGGGGUGGAAGGCAUGAGUCGGCCAGGAUCUUCAGGGUGUGCUUACUCCCAGGACCCUAACAGCGCCUGCCACAUGGUGAAACUCCCAGCCGGACUCCUGCUUGGGUUUCUGGAAAGCAGGCAGUCGUCUUAAACUUUCCUGAGGCCACCAGCAGAGAAUCUGAGCUGAUUGCCUCCUUGAGUGGGGGGGUUGCCCCUUUUAACUUGCCUUCUUGGUUCUGUGGCACCCCUUUCAUGCCUGGGAUGGACGCGGCUCUCAGCUGCCUGUGGACUCAGGACCCCUGCACCACAUCUCCAGCCCACUGUAGGCUUCCCGUGUUGGUCACCUGACCCCUGGAGCCCACUGGUCUCAAGAUCCGUCAUUAAGUCAGUCCUGGAGGCUCAGGAGAUGUGGGAGGAGGCAGCUUAAGCAGAUGGGAAACCAGAGGAGUGAGGCCAGGAGAUGCCCCCAAUUCUGAGUUUCUGUUUUUCUGCUUUUCCUGCCUCCGUUUCUGUUCUCCAUCUCCCCUUCGUCUCCCCUGCUUCUCCAUCAUGUCCUAACCCCAUCCUCUGGGGGUACCCUAGGCCAGCCCACACCUCCUUGGGGUGUCCCAGUACCAGCUUGGCAAAAAAGUGGGGCUCAGUAAGAGUAUGUGGGAUGUCUGUUUGGACAGGUGAGUCAAUGAAGGAACUCGGCCACCACACCUGAGCUGCUAGACGGGAGGCAUCGGGGUGCAAGGAGUUUGAGGUCAAAAGGGUGGAGGGGCCGUUUGCUUUGACUGCGGAAUGGGUGUCGCCCCAUCCUCAGCCCCGUUUGAGUGGGGUCUUGCUGGUCUCACGCCUUCAUUCACUCAUGCGUUCAUCCCGUCAUUCAACAGUUGAUCCUUACUCAGCAAGCCCACAGCCCGGCACGGGCUGGGCACCCGCCACGCUAGCGCGUCCCUUGAUGGCCUCUGCCACCCCUGGGAGGGCAGGCCGGGGGGUUGCUUCUGCCACAGGCGGCCUCACGGCUGUCCCAGGCGCUGGAGCGGUGGAUUCCCCGCUCUGUAGUAGGCAUGCAGGACGGUGCGAGGGGCGGGCCUGGCUGGACUUCCUUUGGAACCUUUAAUUCAAACCCCAGAGGAACCUCAGACUGCCUGUGCUUGCCGCUGGUCCGAGCCAGCCCCGCCUGCUCUCUCUGCCUCCCGCACUCCAUCCUGUCGCUGAGUGCUGAUGACUGUCCUGGACCCCUGGCCCUGAACUCAGGACCAAGGUGGGAAUAUAGGACAGUGUGGUGUGUGUCCUUUCGGGCUCUGGCCACAAAGGUCUCCCUCUUGAGUUGAGGUGUGUGAUUUGGACCCCUCCCUCCAAGAUGCCUUCCUUCACUGGGGCUAAAACCAGCUCCUUUGCCCCCCAGGCAUUGGCUGGGGCCUGUCUCAUGCAAAGGACAGAUGGCUAGGACCCUCGGGGGAGCUCUGCAGGCUCCGCUUCUGCCGGCUGCCCACCUGCUCUGUUCUGCUCUGCCUGGCGGCCCCUCCCCUGGCUCUCCACCGGUCAGGUGGACUGCCCACCUGAGGCUGCUUGCCAUAGUCUGUUGCUCAGCCUGGCCCACUUCCCCCUCCUCUGUGCCGAGUCACCUGGCUCAUGCCCUGGGCUCCGCUGUCUCGCCCUCUGCCUAACGGGUUGCUUUUCCUUGCUGAGCCCACGUCUGUGGUUACCUGGCCUGCCUGCUGCCUUGCCACCUCCCGCCUGCUGGCCUUUUGCCCUGCUAUGGGUCCAAAUGCCCCUCCCCUUCAGUGCUGCCCGGGGUUCCAGUGGGUCCCCAGUGUCCAUGGGACAAGCUCUUGCUGUCAGGCCACCUCCCCCAGCCAUCCUCAAAUGCUUCCAGCCGUGGGACUGACUUCCUAGGGUCUAAGUGACCGUGGGAUGCAGCGAGACCUGUCCUGUCCCCUCCCUCCGUCCAGAUCCCUUGUCGUCAUGUCCUAACAGGAGUCACCCAUGGCCUGCCCGUAUUGCCGCCCUGUCCCUGUGAGUCCUGGGCUGUGCCCUGCCCCAGGGCUCAUGGGGGCUGCCACCUGGGCCUGUUGCAUCCCUUGCCCAUGGCCCGUCCCCACGAGCCACCUCCCUCCACUGACAACCACACCACAGGUCGGCCCCGUCCUUGGGACAUGGGCUGCAACUUGGUCGGGUUGGCUGAAGAACUGGACGGAAGGGAUGGAAGAACCCCCGGAGGACCCCCACCCUGGACCACGUCCUUCCUGAUGGCCGCCUGGCGCCUCACGCCCACCCUGUGCCCGUCGCCACCUCCUGGUUUGGGCCGAAGCCGUCGUUCGGAAUCCUCCGUGGGAAGGGACCUCGGACGCGUGAUCCCAGCACUGUCCAGCUUUCCAAUCCCUCCACAGCCACGGGGACGCCCCGCACACGUUCCUGCGGGACAGGCUGGACCCAAAGACUCUGGACCCGGGCCGCCCCCUGCGAGGAGGGGCACACCCUCCCCGCCUCCCCUCCGGUAGCCACCCGUCUUCUGACUGAUGACUUCACUGAUCUGAGGGUCAGACACACGAGUUUGACCCCUGCCUGCCCCUCACGAGCCCUGAGACUUGGGGGAGCCACCGAGCCUUCGUUGUCCGCAUCUGUGAAGUCUCCUCGGACACCUACCUCACAGGGUUGUUGUGAGGAGCAUGUGAUGUGGUUCAGAAGGGCCCAACCUGGGGCCUGGCACACCCGAUUGUGCUCUCAAUAAAUGUGUUUCUUGCCUUAACCAACACAGUGAUGGAUGUGCUACUAAUAUGAGCAGGGUGAAUGUCGGGUGUCCUGUCUUGCUGGGGCUUCCCCUCACCUCAGGCAGUGUGAGGGCUGGGGGUGGGGCCGGGGGAGCCAGCUCCUGUCCCAGGAAGCCGCCUGUCCCCUAUGCAAUGGGCAGGCUGGUGGGAUGGAUGGUUGCCCGAAGCAAAGCUGGCCCUGGAGGUUGAUGCAUCCGGUGAACCACCUCGGGCUGGUCCCCCUCCUACUCCUAUGACCGGUCGUGGGAUGCCAGGGUUCUUUCCAGAAAGGAGUGCAGUGGGAAGGUAGAGGAAGUCUGAGCUGAGCUCACCGCCCCCAGGGCGGCAACUCUUCCUCUCCCUCCUCACACGCUCCCUGACCCUGGCCUGGGCCUGGCCCAGCACUCGCCAUGCUUGAACGGAUAGUGAGGGCAUGGUGGAGAGGGUCCAGCCUGGCUGCGACAGGGCCGACACUCAUCCCACAAGAUGGUUACUGAGCGGGCCCUGAGGGGGCUGCCAAGGUAGAGCCUCUGACCCAGCCCCCGCCUCGUGGGAGGGGGCACCGGGCCUUGCACCCCCACCCCCCAGCUCAGGAAGGUCAGGCUGUGGCCAGCUGCAUGUGGCUGGGGCUGAAUGGGCCAGAGGGAAGGACAAAGGAACUUCGGACCUCCGUCCACCUGGAGUCCUGGGGUCGGCACUCCUGGCUUUGCUGGAGCAGAUGAGCUGGACAUGCAACCAGUGGGAAGGGAAAGCUGCUGUCACCACCACCGUCACCGUCAACGUCAACGCCAAAGCCACCACCAUCACUACCGCCAUCUCCUCCUCCUCUUCCCUGUCCUUCCCCCUUUCUCCUUCCUUUCUCCUUCCUUUGCCUCCUCCUUUCUCCUUCCUCUUCCUCCUCUCUCCUUCCUUUUCCCCCUCCUCCCCUCCACACCCUCGGGGGAAUGCCUCAAGAGAACUACAGGUGAGUCCACUCAUGAAUGUAUGGGGCUGAGCAUGGCCACUUUGUGAACAGAAAGAACCACCUUGAGGACCAUGGCCAUGUCCAGCCAAGGAGGCCUGACCUCAGCCCUGAUGGAGUUGGAGAUGUUAUGGUGCUGAGUGAUGGUCCAGGAGGCAGUGAGAUGAGGAGAGGGCCUCCAGAGUGUGCCCCACCCAGAUAAGUCCAUGCUCAGCCAAGAUGGUGCUGAGGGUCCAGGAAAGUCCUGACUCUGGUGGGCAGACCCCGGGCCUCUCAUGAAGCUCAGGCAUCCAGAAUGAGGGCCCCCUUGAAGUUCCAGAGCUGAGGUCCCAGCUCCAGCCCUUGAUGAAACUUGGACAUCCAGAAUGAGGGUUCUCUCAAAGUCCCAGAGCCAAGACCACAGCUCCGGCCUCCGGUGAAGCUCAGAUGUCCAUGAUGAGAGCCCUCCUUGAUGUUCCAGAGCCGAGACCCCAGCUCCAGCCUCCAGUGAAGCACACAUGGCCAUGAUGAGAGGCCUCCUUGAUGUUCUAGAGCCAAGACCCCAGCUCCAGCCUCCAGUGAAGCCCAGCUGUCCAUCGUAAGAGGCCUGCUUGAUGUUCUAGAGCCGAGACCCCAGCUCCAGCCUCCGGUGAAGCUCUGAUGUCCAUGGUGGGAGGCCUCCUUGAUGUUCCAGAGCUGAGACUCCAGCUCCGGCCUCUGGUGAAGCUCAGAUGUCUAUGAUGAGAGGCCUCCUUGAUUUCCCAGAGCCGAGACUCCAGCUCCAGCCUCCGGUGAAGCUCAGAUGUCCAUGAUGAGAGGCCUCCUUGAUGUUCCAGAGCCGAGACUCCAGCUCCAGCCUCCGGUGAAGCUCUGAUGUCCAUGAUGAGAGGCCUCCUUGAUGUUCCAGAGCCAAGACUCCACCUGCAGUCUCCGGUGAAGCUCUGAUGUCCAUGAUGAGAGGCCUCCUUGAUGUUCCAGAGCCGAGACUGCAGCUCCAGCCUCCGGUGAAGCUCUGAUGUCCAUGAUGAGAGGCCUCCUUGAUGUUCCAGAGCCGAGACUCCAGCUGCAGCCUCCGGUGAAGCUCUGAUGUCCAUGAUGAGAGGCUUCCUUGAUGUUCCAUAGCUGAGAUCCCAGCUCCAGCCUCCAAUGAAACUCAGAUGUCCAUGAUGAGAGGCCUCCUUGAUUUUCCAGAGCCAAGAUCCCAGCUCCAGCCACUGGUGAAGCUCAGAUGUCCAUGAUGAGAGGCCUCCUUGAUGUUCCAGAGCUGAGACUCCAGCUCCAGCCUCCGGUGAAGCUCUGAUGUCCGUGAUGAGAGGCCUCCUUGAUGGUCUAGAGCCAAGACCCCAGCUCCAGCCUCUGGUGAAGCUCCAAUGUCCACGAUGAGAGACUUCCUUGAUGUUCCAGAGCCGAGACGCCAGCUGCGGCCUCCGGUGAAGCUCAGAUGUCCAUGAUGAGAGCCUCCGUGAUGUUCCAGAGCCGAGACUCCAGCUCCAGCCUCUGGUGAAGCUCAGAUGGCCAUGAUGAGAGGUCUCCUUGAUGUUCUAGAGCCAAGACUCCAGCUCCGGCCUCCGGUGAAGCUCAGAUGUCCAUGAUGAGAGGCCUCCUUGAUGUUCCAGAGCCGAGAUCCCAGCUCCAGCCUCUAGUGAAGCUCAGAUGUUCAUGAUGAGAGACCUCCUUGAAGUUCCAGAGCCGAGACCCCAGCUCCAGCCUCUGGUAAAGCUCAGAUGUCCAUGAUGAGAGGCCUCCUUGAUGUUCUGGAGCCAAGACCCCAGCUCUGGCCUCUGGUGAAGCUCAGAUGUCCAUGGUGAGAGGCCUUCUUGAUGUUCCAAAGCCGAGACCCCAGCUCUGACCUCCAGUGAAGCUCCGAUGUCCAUGAUGAGAGGCCUCCUUGAUGUUCCAGAGCUGAGACCCCAGCUCCAGCCUCUGGUGAAGCUCUGAUGUCCGUGAUGAGAGGCCUCCUUGAUGUUCCAGAGCUGAGACCCAACUCCAGUCUCCAAUGAAGUUCAGAUGUCCAUGAUGAGAGGCCUCCUUGAUGUUCCAGAGCCGAGACCCAAGCUCCAGCCUCCAGUGAAGCUCCAAUGUCCGUGAUGAGAGGCCUUCUUGAUGUUCCAGAGCUGAGACCCCAGCUCCAGCCUCAGAUGAAGCUCAGACAUGCAGAACUGCUGAGACAGCCUCAAGACCGUGGACUUGGCUGGACCGUACUGGGUGUGGCUGAGGUUUGACUUGAGAGUGGAGAUGGCAGAGGACACUGCUCUCCACCCAUGGCCUGCAGUGCUCCUGACUAGCAUCCCCGGAGGUAGCAUUUGACCCCUGCAUGAGGCUGGGUUCUAGAUACAUAAGGAACAAUGUGGAGUGGGGACUCUUGGCUGGAGGGAAGAGUCUUAGGGAGAGCACAGUCGUGGAUUGUGGGUGGGGCAUCGCUGAUGAAGCCUGUCCAUGAGUAUGUUUCUCUGUAGCAGAGUGCUGUUUUAUGCCUUUUAGUUGUGCUGGACUCAUGACUGGCUGCACACCAGCCUUGAUCCACGGGGCUGCCAAUUGGCUGGACCCUGGAAUGUAACCCAAGCUUGUUUCUGCGGCUUAGCUCCUCUCCCAGGGGAAGGUGCUAACCGCCCACUCGCCAGCCCGGCGUGAAGCCGCGACCUUGGGGCUGCUCAGAUCUGGUUGCCUCUUUCCAGCAACGGAAGUUCAUCGAGGUUGGGACUGGGAGAGGGCCAGGCCAUUGCGACAUGAGUGAAGAUGGUACGGACGGCAAAGGAGGCCCUCAAAUAAAUGGGGACAAAAUGGCAGCUUCCGAGAUGCAGCCGCGUCUUGGGCUGGGACCCUGCCCCAAGCACCUUGACUGUAUCUGUGGUCUUUCAGGAACUUGGUUGACACCAGACCAUCCACUAAGCCAGAUAGAGAUAACAAUUAAAGAAAUAAGGCCAAAUAUAUUGACUUGCUCGGAAACCAUAAGAAGGUCAUGGGUAGCUAGCGUCAAAGCGAUGAAAAGUAUAGACUUUGGGAGGAGAGGCUGCUGAGUAUUAUUCUGGAUGUACUGACUCUGAAAUCUCGAGACCAGGAGGUUCUGAGAAUCCGAUAUCAUCAGUUAUGCCAUUCAGGCACACAGCUACAAUAAUACAUCCCAGAAACUGACUUAGUUUAUGCAGUUGGAAUCUGCAGGAAAAGGGAGCAGCUAACGAGUUCUUGAAAAACACAUCCUAGCAAUGCCAACAUCAUUUUGGUGACAUUUCCUGGAAAUUCAUUAGAAUUUGGAACUAUGCACACAAAAACUUCUUUGAUGAGUAACUGGAACUCGAGACCUGGGGUGGGAUGGAGGAGAAAUUCAUCUUAGAGGACUGCCUGGCCUGCCUCGCCCCACCCUCAUUUGGCCAAGUUAUUUUAGGAGAUUUCCAAGAACAAGCAAUUAUUAGACUCACUCAUUGCUGAUUUCCUAGAAGCCCUCACAACAAACUCUGAGGCCAAAUGCAAAACGGGUGAGCUGGGCUUGUGAUGUGUGUGAAGAAAGUGUGAGUUCUGCUCUGUAAAGACAUCAGCCUCAGGGAGCUAGGCUCAAAGCAGAGCCACAGGAGUGGCAGGAAGGAUAGGACGGAACUUCUGGAUCGUCAGGCAGAGCCCCCUGACUUGAGUGAGAUAGGUCAGAGGUUGUUCUCCAGCCCCUUCCAGGAAGGUCGUCGAGCUCUCACAUGUUUCUGACGUGUGCUAGGCAUUGUGCUGAGACCCAGGAGGAAAAGCUGAAUUCGAUCCAGCCCCUGCCCUCCAAGUAAGAAAGACUAAGUUCCAGGUGGGGCUGCUGUGGUGGCAGCAUAGGGCCCGAAGUGGUCUCCCAGUUGGCUCUCCCAUUUUACAGAUGUGGACACUGAGGUCGAGAGAUAGGUUGGUUCCUUGAUGCCCAUUAAGACCAGACCUCUCUGGAGGCCACGGCACUAUUCCCUACUCCACGCUGCUUCCGAUUUUACCGAGAUUGAAGAAGAGCCAGGACAGCUGAGCGGAUUGCCUGCGGUCACCCGUCAAGACAGCAGAAGCGGGAAGGCUUGGCACCAGAGCUCCUGCCUCCGUGUGCAGACUGUGGUGGUACCCAUUUGCCAGGAGCCCAGUCCAGCCCCAGCGCCAUGCUAGAAGACCAGACCAGAGGGAGCAAGGAUGCUCUGGAGGGUGUGGGGGUGAGGUGGUAGGAGGGACCUUACCUGGGAGUCUGGGGAGCAAGGCCCAGCCAGUUUGUCUCUGACUCUCCCCCUCAGGGCCUCAUUUUCCCCAUCACUCACUUUGUUGUCCUCCUGUUUGUUGGAGGGACCUUUUCUGAUGGGGGCACCACUCACGCUUUGUGAGUACCUGCCACUUGGCAAAAUGGAUCAGUGGCAGGGAGGGGGCAAUCGGUGAGGGGAGGAAAAUCAUGGUCUUCUUCAUUCCCAGGAGGGGCUGAGUGGGCCCCAAAUUUCCCUGACACUCCCAGCUCAGCUCUUAGAGGAAGCUGGGAAGAGAGAUGCCUUGGGCUGCAGUUUUCUCCGGAUGACUGUUAUUUUCCCCUCUUGGCCUCACCCAUGGCCGCCAUUUGGGAGCUGGGGGCUGGAGUGAGGCCGAGGCGGGCGGGCUGUGGAAAGCUUGCUCUCCAGCUCUCCUCACCAGAGGGUUGUUCUCGUGAGCCAGCCAUGGGAGACAGUGCCUCCCUGUGCUUCUAGGGGGACACUUUGGGUUCUGCCCCCUCCCCUGAGCCAGCAAUCAUGUAGGGCCCCUGGGGAAGCCAGUCCCAAUAGCAGCAAGGCCCUCUGUGGGGGCUGAGCCCACCCGGAGGUGGGUGGGAAGAUGGAUGGGCAGGGCAGUGGGGGGCAGGACAGCAGCCAACUGGCCCAGAGAGUCAGGCCAAAUUCAAGCCAGAUGUUACUGGAAUAGUCAGCAGAGGGGGACCCCCCCAUCCCUGGGAGACAUUAGGCUGAUUUGAUAGCUGUACAUUUCCCAGACAGCCCACAGCUCCCUAGCUGCCUUCACCUGCACUGAGGGUUCUCAAAUUGUCCUGGGGUGGGCUGGGUGGGGGGCAGGGUGGGGGCUGGUAGGGUGUUGUGGAACAUUGCCUAUAUACCUGCACUUUACAAAGCACUUUAUGUUUGCUUGGUGUCGGCUGAUGGUGCAAGGAAUGGAUGAAAGUGUGCCUGUCGGUGGGUCUGGGGGCUCGUCAGUCACCCCAUGUCGGAGGAGGAGACCCUGGGCUCGGAGCGGGUCAGAGGCCAUUCUGGGGACAUUCGUAUGCCCAUGGGGUUCUGGGAUUCAGCCUCCUGGGGCCAAGAGGGGCCUUUCCUUGAUACCAUGGUCCAGGGCCUCAAUGCCCAGGAAGCAGAGGCCACACUGCUAGGAGGAAAGCCCCCUGGUGCACCCCAGACCCGGCCUCCUGGGAUUAUUACUGGGGCUGGAACUUGCCUCCCUUCACCUAGAAUUGACUGUGACUCCAAAGGGCCAGGCCUUAGCCCAACCGCCCCCCCCCCGCCCCCACCGCGACAGCUUGUACUCAUGUCGCCUGCAAGCAUAAGGCUUCCAGAGGGUUUCUGCAGCUUGGGACCCCUGGACCAGGGAUUAAUCUGCACCCCUUCACCACGGCUGCCACAUAGCCCCCAGUACCAGGUAGAUGCCUGAUGUUGGUAUUGGGUGAUUGGCCCAGGUUAGGCUCCGGUGUUGUCCUGGCCCAGGAAGGGCUCAGUGGGACGGGUGUCCCUAGCCUGGGUCAGGGGGUGGCUGUGUGCCUGUGCCUGCCUGGAUGUGCAUGGGUGUGCAUACCUGUGUGUGUGUGCAUGUGUGAGUGUGCAUGCACGUGCAGUCUGCGCCUGUGUGUGCAUGCAUGUGUGGGAGAGGCAGCUGGUGGAGAGCGACUGGAAGUGAGAGACAGAGUGGGUUUCUUUCUGACCCCAGACACCCUGAGCACGGAUUCACCUCUGCUUCUCCUGAGACCCGCUCCCCGUAGUCACCUCUGCCACAAGCCCCCCGUAGUUUGUGCUCCAGCCCAUCUUUGUGUCCAGCUCUGCCGCAUUGGGCAGAAGAGUGGCAGCCUUGGUUCCCAACCCUCUACCCUUUACUGUCCACCCCCAUCCUCAUUUCCUCUCCUUGGCAGUGCUGUCACAGGUAGGGGAUCCUGCCCCCGCGCGCUGCCGACACCCCCUCUCAGCAGCUCUGUCUGGUCUACCCCGUCCUGUGUCUGGAGUGGAGCCUUCCCCUCCCACGGCCCCCCAUCUCCUACCCUCUUCCCUGGGAUUCCGACCAGCCCUGCCCCAGCCCUUAGACCCCAGCUUCUGGGGCAGCUCACAGUAGAAGCUCAGCCACCUCAUGGAGAGGGACAAGAAUGGGUUGAGCGAGGGUCCUUGUGCCCAGCCUCCCCAGCCUCCCUUGCUGCUGCCUGGGGCAUCUCUUAGCUGGUGACGAUGGCCGGAGACCUCAGGACCACACCGACGACAGAACCUUGGACCUGGAGGAGGCCUGUGCCCCCGAUGGCGCUCGGCCCAGGUGCUGCCUGAUCCAGGUCAGUUCCCACCGUUGGUCUUUGAAAUGCAUAGGCACAGAUGGAUUGGAUUGAAAAGUGCCCCAAAUGGCGUCAGACUUUCUCUGAUGAAACUCUGUCACGUUCACUUGGUUUGCCAGCGAGGUUGAGAGUGGACAAAUCGAGUGAGCUUCAUCUGCAGCUCUGAGGUUUUGACAAAAGUAGACAGUUUUACAUGUCACAUAUGUAUUAUGAUAUGCAGGAGGCUGUAUCAUUGCAACUCUUUAAGCUUGAUAUGAGAGCUUUGUUGCCUAUUAAAAAAUGGACUGUGGGAGGGGGAGGUGGGUGGCUUUUCAGAAUUCCUGUAUGGGAUGUGCAAGCACAGAUGUUUGCUGCCCCUGUUCUGGGGCAUCCACGCUUCCUCGCUGGCAAGGUUCUUGGGCUUGGUAGUUGUUCUCUGAGCUUCGCACAUGUUAUUCUGUUAUGUUCUGGAUAUUCUGUUAAUGCAAGUGGGUGGGGUGGGGGUGUUGAGCUGGAUGCUGGGCUGGGCUGCGACUGUAAAGGCUCUUGAUUUAUGUCUCCCCUUGACCCUCAGAGGUGUCCAGGCCCAGCUCGUGGGUCCUGGGUCCCUCUUUUUCUCCCUCUAGACUUUGGGGGUCCAUCUCAUGCAUGUCUGUCACCAUGGGCUCCAUCAUCAUGGCUUCCAUCACCCAGCAUUGCUUCACCGUCACCUGCAACUACUGGGUCCCAGGACCUGGUCCAUCCUUCCCCCUGGGCUGGUCAUCUCCGGCUCCCAUCACGUCCGUCCAGUCUGUGUCAUCCUGGGCACAGCAUCUCAUCUCUAUCACGGUGGACCUGGCCAUCACCCAUCCAUCAUCUGCCUCACCUCCAUCAUCCUCGCUUCGGGGCUCCCUCUGGCCUCCAGGGCCUUGUACAUGGUAGGCUUUCAUUCAUUCGUUUGCACAUUCGGUGAAGGUCUUCCGUGUGCCAGGCUCUGUGCCAGGCAUCAAGUAAAGGGACGUUGCCCUUGGGAGCGCACGCCUCGGGGAGAAGCACAAGAGCCGGCGGAUGGCAGAGAGCCUGGCCCAGGGUGACUUGCAGACAUGGUGCAGAGAAGGGCAAAUCUGACUGCAUGGGGGCAGGGGGUGGCGGUGCUCGGUCAAGGUUCUGCUGAGUGGGGUCUGGAAGGAGAGGUCACAUGUGCCCUCUUUCUUACCUGCUGGUAGCUGACAUCUCAGAAAUGGCGCCAGGAGCCUAGGGCCUCCCAGCUUGCCCACUGGGACCUUGCCCCUGAACCCCUGACAGGUUCCUGCACCUCCAGAGCCUGGCUGCUUGCACUCUGCACCCCAUGCUCUGGGUCAGUCUUCUUGCUGUCCCCUUGUUUGAGAUCAUCCAGUCCUACCCAGAUCCUUUGAUGUCAUUCCCUUUCUAGACGAGUAAAACUGAUGCUCACACAGGGUCCCUGAGUGUCACGUGUCAGAAUGCAGAUGGAGGGUAAGGACCAAAUUUUGUGCUCUUUCCAUUAAAGUUGAAAUGAAUGAAUGAGUGACGUGACAUGAAAGAGGGCAAGUUUGGGGAGAAGAGGACCUUACUUCUCAUUGUUCAGGCCUGGAGUGGUUUCAAUGCAGAGUCAGACCACAUUGGAGGAAGAGGAGUUGCUGGGGAGGAAGGGGUGGGCCCAGUCUGUGAAGGAGUGUUCAUGCUUCUGGGGUAAAAUCAGAACAUAGCGGACAAGCCAGUGAAUUUUGUGUAAAGCAAAAUUUAUUCCAUUGUAAGAAUCUGAGCUAUGUCUUUUCUACUUUGGGGCUAUUACAGUGAACUUCUGCUCUCUAAAAUGACGGUGGUCAAGGAUGGGAAUUGCUUUGUCUAUCAGAUUUAAUGUUUUUGGUUGGCCAAGUGUUGGUUGUCAGAUAACCAUUUUGGAAAUUUCUAGGUCUUGGAGAGCCCAGAUAUGGGACCCUCUAGUGUCCAUGAAGACCCUGUGGAUGUUCGAGGGAGAGGGGGUGUGGACUUGUUGGGUUUGACGGUGCCUCAGCUGUCUUAAUGGUCCCCUUCACGGAUUGGAGUAGACUCAAUUUUAGGGGACCUUGGUGGUCUUCAGGAGAAGUUUCAGGUUAGCUAAUUGGAAUUGUACUUUUGGUGCAUGAACUUCUGUAACUUUUGGGAUUGUUUAGUUGCCUGUCUUAAUUAGAUUCUGAAUCAGAAUUAGCGUGGUGUGUGCAGACUGCCUUGGGGUCUGGUAGGAUGAGGUGGCCCCCUGGGUGUCCCACCUUCACCCCAGGAUGCCCAUCACUCUCAGUGGGAUGUUCAUGGGAUGUUCCUGAGGGUGAAAACCACUGCUAGGUUCAUGUGUCAACCAAGCCCCUCCUUGAACAUGUGUCACACUGAGCCCCUCCUCUACUUGUGUCCCAUGGAGCCCCUCCUCACUCAUGUAUUACACUGAGCUCCUCCUCCACUCAUGUGUCACACCUGUGUCCAUUCCCUACUCGUGUGUCACCCUGAGCCCUCUCCCUGAUCAUGAGUAGCACUGUCUUCCCUCACUCCUGUGUCUCAUGGUGCCCCUCUAGUGCCUCCACCGAUGUGUUAUACUGAGCCCCCUCACUCAGGUGUCACACUUGAGCCCAUCUCCCACCCGUGUGCCACACUGAGCCCUUCCCAGGUUCAUGGGUCACAUAUAGCCCCUCCAGCACCCUUAUGUCAUACUGAGCUGCUCCCUCACUCAUGGGUCACACUGAAUCCAUGUGUUAUGUGGAGCCCCUCCCCCACUUAUGUGUCACAUGAAAUCCCUCCCCCACCUAUGUGUUUUACUGAGCCCCUGUGAGACCCAUGUGUCACACUGAGCCCCUCCCCUACUCAUGCAUCAUAUGGAGUCCCUUGCCUACUCAUGUGUCGCAUAGAGUUCCUCCACCACACUUGUCUCAUACAGCACCUCCGUCACCCAUGUGUCUCACCAAGACUCUCCACUCAUAUGUCACUCUGAGCCCUUCCACUAACCUGUGUGUCACACUUAGUCCCUUCCUCACUUGUGUCCCGUGGAGACCCUUCACUUGUGUGUCCACCAAGAGCCCCACUCAUGUGUCAUGCUAAGACCCUUUCCCACCCUUGUGUCAUCUUGAGCCCCUCACUCAUGCAUCAUUAUGAAGUCCCUCCCAUUUCAUGUGUCACACUGAGCCCCUUCCUCCACCAUGUGUUACAUUGAGCCCCUCCUCCUCUCAUGUGUCACAUGGAGCCCCUCCUCUACCCAUGUGUCACACCCCCCCCAACUCAUGUGUCACCCUGUGCCCUUCCCCUCAUGCAUUAUAUGAGCCCCUCCUCCACUCAUGUCACUGAGCCCCUCCUCUACUCAUGUCACUGAGCCCCUCCUCUUCUCAUGUGUCCCAUGGGGCUCCUCCUCCACUCAUGUGUCACAUUGAACCUCUUCCACACUCAUGUGUCAUACGUAACACAGAGCCCCUCCCCCUACUCAUGAGGAGGACUGAGCCCUUCCCCACUGAUGGUGCCCCUCUUCCACCCAUAUGUUAUACCGAGCCUUUGCAUUCAAGCAUUACACUUAGUCCCUUUCCCAUCCAUAGGCCACACUGAACCCCUCCCCUACUCAUGUGUCACACAAAGCCCCUCCAGCACCCAGAUGUCAUACUGAGUCCCUCACCUCUUCAUGUGUCAACUGAGCCCAUCCUCUACUAUGUCAUAUGGAGCCCCUCCCCCACCCAUGUGUCACAUCAAGUCCCUCCCCCUGUGUGUCACACUGAGCUCCUGUGACAUCCAUGUGUCACACUGAGCACUCCUCACUCAUGUGUCGCACUGACCCCAUCCCCCACUCACGUAUCAUAUGGAGUCCCUCCCCCACUCAUGUGUCACAUUGAGCCCCUCCCCUACUCAUGUAUCCUGGAGUCCUUUUCCCAACUCAUGUCACAUAGAGCUCCUUUCAAACUCGUGUCACACUAAGCCCCUUACUGCACUUGUGUCAUACUGAUCUGCUCCUCCCUUCCAUGUGUCACAUCGAGCCCCUCCUCCACCCAUGUGUCACAUGAAGUCCCCCCACUCAUGACACCCUGAGCUCUUCCUCCCCCCAUGUGAAACACUGAGUCUGUCCCCUACUCAUGUGUCAUGGGGCCCCUACUCCACUCAUGUCACACGUAUGUUCCUCACUAUUGUGCCACAUCCAGUCUUUCUUCCACCAUGUGUAACACUGAGCCCCUCCCCCUACUUAUCUAUUAAACUAAGUCUGUCUUUCACUCGUGUUACACUGACCACCUCCCCUAUUCAUGUGUCAUACCUAGUUUCUCACUCAUUCAUGUGUCACAUGGAGCCUCUCCCCGACUCAUGUCACACAGAGCCCCCUCCCCCACCUAUGAGCCACACCUAGUCCCUGUUCCACUCAUGUGUCACACUGAAACCCCCUAACCUGUGUGUCUCACUGAGUCCCUUCCCCACUUAUGUCACAUUACAUUGAGCCUCUUCUCCACUCAUGUGUCACAUAGAGACCCUCUGUCACAUAGAGCCCCUGUUUCACUCAUGUGUCACACCAAGUACCCUCGCUCAUGUUUUAUACUAAAUCCCUUCCCUGCUGUGUAUCACACUGUGUUUCUCCCCCAUUCACGUGCAUACUGAGCCCCUCACCAACUCAUGUCUCAUAUGGAACUCCUACCCGACUCCUCUGUCACACUGAGUCCCUCUGCCACUCACUGUCACACUGAGACCUGCCAUUCAUGGGCCACACUGAGCCCCUUCUGCACCCAUGUCACACUGAAUCCUCCCUGACUCAUGUGUCAUGCUAAACCUCUGCCUCCAAUCAUACAGUCCCCCUCCUAUUCGUGUCAUACUGAGUCCCUAUCUAAUCACGUGUCACACUGAAUCCCCCCUCAGUGUCACACUGAGACCUCUGCCACUCACGUAUCAUAUGGAGUCCUUCUCCCACCCACAUGCCACCCCGACUCCCUCCCUCACUCCUGUGUCACAUUGAGCCCCUCUUCCACUCUCAUGUGUCGUACUGAGCUGCUUUCCUCACCCAUGUGUUACAGUGAGCACCUCCCUCAUUCAUGUGUUAUCCUGAGCCCCUCCUCUACUCAUGUGUCAUCUGGAGCCCUUCCCCACUCAUGUGUCACACUGAGCCCCCACUCAUAUGUCAGAUGAUCCUCUCCCCACUCAUGUAUCACACUGUGCCCACUUCGACUCGUGUGUCUCAGAGCACCUCCUUCAUGCAUGUGACACACCAAACUCCCCACUCAUGUGUCACACUGAGUCCCUUUCCUACUUACGUGUCACAUGGAGUCCUUUCUCUGCCCAUGUGUCACACAGAGCCCCUCCCCUAUUCAUAUGUCACACUGAGCCCCUUCCCUCACUCAUGUGUCACACUGGAUCACUUCUCCACUCAUGACUCACAUGGAGCCCAUCCUCCACCCAUGCGUUAGACCCUGUACUCAUGUGUCAUACUAAGUGCCUCACUCGUUCAUGUGUUAUAUGGAGCUCCUCCCCACCUGUGUUACAUUGAGCCCCUCCCCCAUUCAUGUGUCACACAGAGUCUGUCCUCCCACCUUUGUGUCACACCAAGUCCUUUCCCUAUUCGUGUCACAUAGAGCUUCUUCUCCACCCAUGUGUUCUGCAGAGUCCGUCCCCUAUUCGUGUAUCACAUGGAUCCCCUCCCUGACUCAUGUCUCAUCUAGACCCCCCAACCAAUGUGCCAUAUGAAGUCUCUCCCCCACCCAUGUGUUAUACUGAGCACCUCCCCCACUCCUGCAUCACACUGAAAAUCCCUCCCCAUUCAUGUCUCAUUUGUGUCACACACAGCCCCCCAUUCGUGUCACACACAGGCCCUCUCACCCAUGUCCUACACUGAGUCCUUGCUACACUCAUGUGUCACUCUGAGCUCCUCCCCAACCUGUGUGUGACACUGACUCCCUCCCACUCAUGUUUCUCCACACGUGUCUCUUAGAACCCCUAUUCCACCCAUGUGUCAAACUGAGCCCCGCAAUUCAUGUGUCACACUGACCCCUCCCUUCCUCCCUCCCUCCUGUGUCCCACUGAGUCCCUCCUCCUCUUAGGUAUCAUACGGAGUCCCUUUCUACUCGUGUCACAUAGAGACUUUCCCCAGUUGUGUCACACUGAAUCCCACCAUUUUUACAUCACACUGAGCCCCUUCUGCACCCACAUGUCACACUGAUCCGCCCCCCGUCUAUGUGUCACAUUCAGUGUGUCACACUGGGCUCCCUCCUCCACUCAUGCAUCACACUCAGUCCCUCCUCAGUCUUGUGUCACCUUGACCCUCACCAGCUUAGGUAUCAUGGGGUCCCUCACCCACUCAUGUGUCACACAGACUCCCUCCUGCACUCGUGUAUCACAUAGAAUACCUUUUUCACCCAUGCGUCACACUCAGCCCCUCCAACACCCCUGUGUCACACUGAGUUCCACACUCAUGUGUCACACUGAGUCCUUCCCCCACCCAUAUGUCGCGUAUAGCCCCUCUCUCACUCACAUGGCUCACCAAGUCCCACCAAGUCCCACUGCUCAUUUGUCACAUGGAACCCCUCCCUCACUCGUGUUACGUGAAGCCCCUCCCCCAACCUGUGUGCCACAAUGAGCCCCGUUCUCAUUGCAACACCUAGUACCUCCCCCAUUCAUGUCACAUAGAGACACUCCCCCAGUCAUGUGUCACUGAGCCCUUAUCCUACUCAUGUGUUACACCAAGACCCCCCCCACCUAUUUGUAACGCCAGAUCCCCCACUCAUUCACGUGUUCCCACUGUCCCCCAUCAUGUGUCUUACUGAAUCCCUCCCCCAUUCAUUUGUCACAUUAGCCCCCCUCACCAGCUAUGCAUUACACUAAGCCCCUCCCCCACGUGUGUCAUAUAGAUCCCCUCUGACGACAGUAUGUCACGCUGAGCCUCUCUCUCUCAUGUGUCACUCCCAUAUCCUUGUGUCACCACAUGCCCUCUCCUACUCAUGUGUCACAUGGAGUCCCUCUCCCACUCAUGUGGAAUAUGGAGCCUCUCCUCCACUCAUGUGUCGCACUGAGUGUGGCCCACAACCCUGUGUCACAGUAUGCCCCUCCCUUACACAUGUGUCACACUGAGCCCCUCCCCUAGUCAUGUGUCAUGUGGAUUCCCUCUCCCACUGUGUCAAAUAGAGCCCCUCCCUCACUCCUGUGUCACACUGAACCCUU
ensembl:lncRNA